CUCAGAAUGUUCGGGCAAGGAUCGAUGAGCCAACUUUGGGCUAAAUCGAUGUGGAUCGGGUUGGACUGUGUGGAUCGGGCUCUAAUACAAUAUUAAGUUAGAUGAACUUCCAACCUAAAACUAAUUGGUGAUAAAUAGAUUUGACUAUCUAUCUUAUAUAUUAGUUAUGAUCCCUUUCAACUAUGGAUGUGGAACACUUUCUGUCUAAUAGAUUAUUCACGGUCGUUUUUUGCAAAAUUCAAAUAUGAAAUCAAGAUGCCAAUGACAAUAUCAACACCCAUAAUAAGCCAACCGUCUGAAAAGAUUUGUUGGUGUGAGUUUUGACUUUUGACUUUUGAGAUAUAUUAUAUAUUGACAUGAGUUUCAUCACCUUUUGUCUGUAAAUUUUUUUGGGCCAUUACAUUUUCCACUCUCACCAAGGUAGUAAUCUGAGUAGGUGUGAAUGAAAUAUCCAACCAUCUGCAUACCCUAGUUCAUGCACACGUAAUAGUCCAAAUUUAAAACAUUUGUAUGUGUGUAGACUCUUUCGGAAGCAUAUAUAUAGCUUAUCCCAGCUAAAACCAAACAUUAUUAAGCUAAUCUAUUACCAAUUUGGUAAAAAAAAGUAACCUGUUUAAAUUCCGUGUACAUCAUGUCUUCCUUAAGGUAAGAAUCGGUCUUUAUUUUAGGUAAAAGGUUUUCUUGGAAAAUGGAAAGGCAUGAGUGAUCAGGUCUCGCUUCGUAAUGAACCUACUGUUUUGUAGUCAUAGACAUUUUAUUUUGCUAAAGAUAUAACUAUUAAGCUAGAUGGACUUCCAACCUAAAACUAAUUGGUGAUAAGUAGAUUUGACUAUCUAUCUUAUAUAUUAGUUAUAAUCCAUUUCAACUACAGAUGUGGAACACUCUGUGUCGUUUUUUGCAAAAUUUGAAUAUGAAAACAAGACAACAAUGACAAUAUCAACACCCAUAAUAAGACAACUGUCUGAAAGAUUUGUUGGUGUGAGUUUUGACUUUUGACUUUUGAGAUAUAUUAUGUAUUGACAUGAGUUUCAUCAUGUUUUGUCUGUAGAAAUCUUUGGGCCAUUACAUUUUCCACUCUCACCAAGCUAGUAAUCUGAGUAGGUGUGAAUGAAAUAUGCAACCAUCUGCAUAUCCUAGUUCAUUCACACGUAAUAGUCCAAAUUUAAAACAUUUGUAUGUGUGUAGACUCUUCCGGAAGUAUAUAUAUAUAACUUAUCCCAGCUAGCUAAAACCAAACAUUAUUAAGCUAAUCCAUUACCAAUUUCGUAAAAAAAAGUAACCAGUUUAAAUUCCGUGUACAUCAUGUCUUCCUCAAGGUAAGAAUCGGUCUUUCUUUUGGGUAAAAGGUUUGCUUGGAAAAUGGAAAGCCAUGAGUGAUCAGGUCUCGCUUCUUAAUGAACCUACUGUUUUGUAGUCAUAGACAUUUUAUUUUGCUAAAGAUGUAAAUGUUAAGCUAGAUGGACUUCCAACCUAAGAAUAAUUGGUGAUAAGUAGAUAUUUGACUAUCUAUCUUAUAUAUUAGUUAUGAUCCCUUUUAACUACAGAUGUGGAACACUUUGUGUCUAAUAGAUUAUUCACGGUCGUUUUUUGCAAAAUUCGAAUAUGAAAUCAAGACGACAAUAACAAUAUCAACACCCAUAAUAAGACAACCGUCUGAAAGAUUUGUUGGUGUGAGUUUUGACUUUUGACUUUUGAGAUAUAUUAUAUAUUGACAUGAGUUUCAUACUUUCAUCACCUUUUGUCUGUAAAAAUCUUUGGGCCAUUACAUUUUCCACUAUCACCAAGCUAGUAAUCUGAGUAGGUGUGAAUGAAAUAUGCAACCAUCUGCAUACCCUAGUUCAUGAACACGUAAUAGUCCAAAUUUAAAACAUUUGUAUGUGUGUAGACUCUUUCGGAAGCAUAUAUAUAGCUUAUCCCAGCUAGCUAAAACCAAACAUUAUUAAGCUAAUUCAUUACCAAUUUGGUCAAAAAAAAAUAUCCAGUUUAAAUUCCGUGUACAUCAUGUCUUCCUCAAGGUAAGAAUCGGUCUUUCGUUUGGGUAAAAGGUUUGCUUGGAAAAUGGAAAGGCAUGAGUGAUCAGGUCUCGCUUCUUAAUGAACCUACUGUUUUGUAGUCAUAGACAAUUUAUUUUGCUAAAGAUGUAAAUAUUAAGCAAGAUGGACUUCCAACCUAAAACUAAUUGGUGAUAAGUAGAUUUGACUAUCUAUCUUAUAUGUUAGUUAUGAUCCCUUUCAACUAUAGACGUGGAACACUUUGUGUCUAAUAGAUUAUUCACGGUCGUUUUUUGCAAAAUUCGAAUAUGAAAUCAAGACGACAAUGGCAAUAUCAACACCCACAAUAAGACAAUCGUCUCAAAUAUUUGUUGGUGUGAGUUUCGACUUUUGACUUUUGAGAUAUAUUAUGUAUUGACAUGAAUUUCAUCACCUUUUGUCUGUAAAAAUCUUUGGGCCAUUACAUUUUCCACUCUCACCAAGCUAGUAAUCUGAGUAGGUGUGAAUGAAAUAUGCAACCAUCUGCAUACCCUAGUUCAUGCACACGUAAUAGUCCAAAUUUAAAACAUUUGUAUGUGUGUAGACUCUUUCGGAAGCAUAUAUAUAGCUUAUCCCAGCUAGCUAAAACCAAAAAUUAUUAAGCUAAUCCAUUACCAAUUUGGUAAAAAAAAAGUAAACACUUUAAAUUCCGUGUACAUCAUGUCUUCCUCAAGGUAAUAAUCGGUCUUUCUUUUUGGGUAAAAGGUUUGCUUGGAAAAUGGAAAGGCAUGAGUGAUCAGGUCUUGCUUCUUAACGAACCUACUGUUUUGUAGUCAUAGACAUUUUAUUUUGCUAAAGAUGUAAAUAUUAAGCAAGAUAGACUUCCAACCUAAAACUAAUUGGUGAUAAGUAGAUUUGACUAUCUAUCUUAUAUAUUAGUUAUGAUCCCUUUCAACUAUAGAUGUGGAACACUUUGUAUCUAAUAGAUUAUUCACGGUCGUUUUUUGCAAAAUUCGAAUAUGAAAUCAAGACGACAAUGACAAUAUCAACACCCACAAUAAAACAACCGUCUGAAAGAUUUGUUGGUGUGAGUUUUGACUUUUGACUUUUGAGAUAUCUUAUGUAUUGACAUGAGUUUCAUCACCUUUUGUCUGUAAAAAUCUUUGGGCCAUUACAUUUUCCACUCUCACCAAGCUAGUAAUCUGAGUAGGUGUGAAUGAAAUAUGCAACCAUCUGCAUACCCUAGUUCAUGCACACGUAAUAGUCCAAAUUUAAAACAUUUGUAUGUGUGCCAUUACAUUUUCCACUCUCACCAAGCUAGUAAUCUGAGUAGGUGUGAAUGAAAUAUGCAACCAUCUGCAUACCCUAGUUCAUGUACACGUAAUAGUCCAAAUUUAAAACAUUUGUAUGUGUGUAGACUCUUUCGGAAACAUAUAUAUAGCUUAUCCCAGCUAGCUAAAACCAAACAUUAUUAAGCUAAUCCAUUACCAAUUUGGUAAAAAAAUGUAACCAGUUUAAAUUCCGUGUACAUCAUGUCUUCCUCAAGGUAAGAAUCGGUCUUUCUUUUUGGUAAAAGGUUUGCUUGGAAAAUGGAAAGGCAUGAGUGAUCAGGUCUCGCUCCGUAAUGAACCUACUGUUUUGUAUUCAUAGACAUUUUAUUUUGCUAAAGGUGUAAAUAUUAAGCUAGAUGGACUUCCAACUUAAAACUAAUUGGUGAUAAGUAGAUUUGACUAUCUAUCGGUCGGUUUUUGCAAAAUUCGAAUAUGAAAUCAAGAUGACAAUGACAAUAUCAACACCCAUAAUAAGACAACCGUCUGAAAGAUUUGUUGGUGUGAGUUUUGACUUUUGACUUUUGACUUUUGAGAUAUAUUAUAUAUCUCAUGAGUUUCAUCACCUUUUGUCUGUAAAAAUAUUUGGGCCAUUACAUUUUCCACUCUCACCAAGCUAGUAAUCUGAGUAGGUGUGAAUGAAAUAUGCAACCAUCUGCAUACCCUAGUUAAUGCACACGUAAUAGUCCAAAUUAAAACAUUUGUAUGUGUGUAGACUUCGGAAGCAUAUAUAUAGCUUAUCCCAGCUAGCUAAAACCAAACAUUAUUAAACUAAUCCAUUACCAAUUUGGUAAAAAAAUAACCAGUUUAAAUUCCGUGUAGAUCAUGUCUUCCUCAAGGUAAGAAUCAAUCUUUCUUUUGGGUAAAAGGGUUUGCUUGGAAAAUGGAAAGGCAUGAGUGAUCAGGUCUCGCUUCUUAAUGAACCUACUGUUUUGUAGGCAUAGACAUUUUAUUUUGCUAAAGAUGUAAAUGUCAUCACUGAGUGUGAAGGCUUGCUACAACUGGCUUGUAUCCAGUCUGUUUAAGUCCGCAAAAAGCAAAUUUGAACCUAAAACCGCAAUUAUGAUAUAAAUGAUUUUUAGGCUCCAAAAUAGGUCUAAACUAUUCUCAAACAUUGAAACACCUUAAGCUAAAGAGAAACAGAGCAAUGGCAUCAAUUAGUUUCCAAAACCCAAGCACAGCUUAGUUCUAGAUCUGUUUUAAUAAUUAUUUUAACUGAAUAUGAUUUCUUAAAACAUUUGAUGUUUGGAAUAAAUCUAGACUGUGGUCGAUCCAUGUUCGUUCGCUGCUAAAAUUUGGAUUAAUAUAUAUCAGUGUGUGACUUUUUUUGGUAACUCAUUCCGUAUUGAGGUCAGUUAAUUUGGCCAUUUUUUUCCAAAAUUAUAUUUUUGAAAGAAAACUAACCAUUGUUUGCUUAUUGCUAUACUUCUUUUGAAUUUUAUGUGAUUAAAUUAAAUUGGUGUAAACUAAGGGAAUCUUUGGUGAACGCUAUUAGCAUGGACGGGGGUACUGGUGAACACAGUUACGCUUCUAAUGCCCAUUAUCAGGUACCAAGACACUCUAUGACGACCCCGUCCCUACUCCUAGCUGAGUAAUCGUCCUCCUAGUAUGGCUGCAAAUUUUAAUCGGAAUUCGCUGCAGGGGUUGGAUUAAAAAAAAAAAGAUCCAAUCUGUUGGUUAACGGAUCAAGCAUGACGAAUUUGACCUCUUCCCAGCUCUACCGCCUGGGCUCUCAACGUUAGAGCAAUGUGGUGAAUAAGAGCAAUUUGGUUAACUUAAUCGGAUCACCAUAUCCCCGACUAUUUUUAUAUUGUUUGUAUAUCAAGUCAUCUUAAUAAAAUAUGAAAAUAUUAGACACAAAA